GACGAACGCUGGCGGCGUGCUUAACACAUGCAAGUCGAACGAAGUGGCGAACGGGUGAGUAAUACGUGGGUAACCUGCCCUCCUUUUUGGGAUAAGCCUUGGAAACGGGGUCUAAUACCGAAUAAAGGGGGAUGGGCUCGCGGCCUAUCAGCUUGUUGGUGGGGUGAUGGCCUACCAAGGCGGGGACGGGUAGCCGGCCUGAGCGGGUGCACUGCCACAUGGGGACUGAGAUGCGGCCCAGACUACGACGGGAGGGAGCAGUGGGGGAGAUUGAAGAAUGGGCGAACGACUGAUGCCGCGAGGCUGAGUGGGGGAUGAAGGCUGUCGGGUUGUAAACCUAUUUCGCUACAGAACGGGUAGGUAGAGAAGAAGCGCCGGCUAACUACGUGCCAGCAGCCGCGGUAAUAC
rnacentral:rRNA from 1 species